CAUCACAAUGGACCUGCCUGCUCAUCACUGUACCCGAUACGGAUCCUGACUUGCAGAUCAACUGCCCGGCUUGAGCUUGGACCUGCCUUGUCACCACAAACUUGCUUGCUAUAAGGCUCCUUGUGUACCAGAGAAGCCUUGGACCUAGAACAGCUGACAGGCUACUUCUGCCCAGCAUUGCAGCAGGGGACUAGGUAGAGCAGAAGCAGAACCAUGGAUUGGAGGCACAAGCCCUGAGGAACCUGCCAGCUCCAGCUCCAGCUCUUUCUCAGUUCUUCUGAUGUCCCUCAGUUGAGCAGCACAUCACAUGCAGUCUCCCUUUUUGCUGAACUUGCAAUGACUGCUGUGCUCCAUUGUAAUUCAUCAUGAGAGAAGAAGACAGACUUUUGUCCCUGGCAGACGACUGUCUGUCUUGCAGUAUAUGUGCAGUUUGGAGUGUCAAUUUUCUGGACUCAUGCUAAAGACACCUUUGUCAGGGGAGUCUGGUAUGUAGUGGUGCUUCUUGGUAUGUAUGGGGGAUGGUUUUAUUUCUUCACUGCAUAUUUUGUGGCCUGUCACAUCUUUUGAUCUAAAAAAAAAAAAAUCCUGUAGUAAGCCUCAACAGUUCAUAAAGCUGUGUUGAAAAAUGUAAGAUGCUGCUGAAAUCAACUGUUGUUUAAAUUCACAUGGAUCAUGUAAUGUCUAAAAGCUUCUUUCCCAACAACAUGGAGAUGAAUUUAAAAACCAGCCAAACACCCCCUGCCCCCCGCAGCUCCCCCAAGGUCAACAUGUAGUCAUUCAACUCCAGCAGCCAGUCCUGCCUGUAAAGAACAACACGCUUAAUAUUGCUGGACUCAUGAUGGAGAUCACAGUGGUGUCAGUUCUCAAAUCAAAGAGAAAUAAAGGUUCAUGUUCCUGUCCCAAGAGAAGGCAAUUGGUUUUGAAGGGUUGUCAAUCUAGAAAUUUCAAAUACAGACAUGUACAUGUGCCAGCAAAGUCAGUCUUCUGAACGUAUGAAUAACCUUUCUCCAGACUGGAUAGUGUAGCACAAAACCCUCUGAAUGGCAGUCUUUGGCACAACUGAAUGUGGUGGUGUUUGUUUGAAUCUUUCAGCUAAAAAGUAUUUCAAAACAGAAAGAUAAGAAUAAGUGGCUACAGGUUGCUUAAUUGGUUACUGGUGAGAAAUAUGGCAAUUGCUUACCCAAGACAACCAUUUGCAGUAAACACUAAUAAAGCAGAAGAACUGAUUUAGGACUAUAAUUAGGGUUGCAAUCACUUAAAACCCAGUAGAGAAAGAUUUAGACUGAACAUCAAGAAAAAACAUCUGAAAGCAGCAAGGUGUUUAUUCUAUGAAAUGCUGGGGAGGUAUUGAGGGAACCUCCACCUGGGUUACUUUAAGGUAGCUCAUUGAGAAAAGCACACAAUUGAGUUACACAUUUAUUCUGCGCUUUCAUUUGCAGGUCAUCUUUAAAUCUAAGCUCUAAAGAACACAUUUUAGGGAGCGAUCCUGCUGAAAGAAGUUAAAUUUGCCAGCUUUUCCUCAUUUGGAU